rnacentral:rRNA from 1 species
UACGUAGGGGGCUAGCGUUGUCCGGAAUCAUUGGGCGUAAAGCGCGUGUAGGCGGUCCGGUAAGUCCGUGGUGAAAUCUCCGGGCUCAACCCGGAAACUGCCAUGGAUACUAUAGGUCUUGAAUAUUGUUGAGGUGGGCGGAACGGGUCAUGUAGCGGUGAAAUGCAUAGAUAUGACCCGGAACACCGAUUGCGAAGGCAGCCCACUAAGCAAUGAUUGACGCUGAGGCACGAAAGCGUGGGGAUCAAACAGG